GGGGCUUGCUCCCGGGUGGUAGGGGUAACACCCUCACGCGCCGCCUGCCUGUACCCUCUUUUUACGAGCACCUUUCGUUCUCCUUCGGCGGGGCAACCUGCCGCUGGAACCAAAACAAAACCUUUUUUGCAUCUAGCAUUACCUGUUCUGAUACAAACAAUCGUUACAACUUUCAACAAUGGAUCUCUUGGCUCUGGCAUCGAUGAAGAACGCAGCGAAAUGCGAUAAGUAGUGUGAAUUGCAGAAUUCAGUGAAUCAUCGAAUCUUUGAACGCACAUUGCGCCCCUUGGUAUUCCAUGGGGCAUGCCUGUUCGAGCGUCAUCUACACCCUCAAGCUCUGCUUGGUGUUGGGCGUCUGUCCCGCCUCUGCGCGCGGACUCGCCCCAAAUUCAUUGGCAGCGGUCUUUGCCUCCUCUCGCGCAGCACAAUUGCGUCUGCGGGGGGGCGUGGCCCGCGUCCACGAAGCAACAUUACCGUCUUUGACCUCGGAUCAGGUAGGGAUACCCGCUGAACUUAAGCAUAUC
rnacentral:rRNA from 1 species